rnacentral:rRNA from 1 species
UACGUAGGGGGCAAGCGUUGUCCGGAUUUAUUGGGCGUAAAGAGCGCGUAGGCGGCCAGGUAGGUCUGCUGUGAAAACUCGAGGCUUAACCUCGAGAUGUCGGCGGAAACCAUCUGGCUAGAGUCCGGAAGAGGAGAAUGGAAUUCCCGGUGUAGCGGUGAAAUGCGCAGAUAUCAGGAGGAACACCGGUGGCGAAGGCGGAUCUCUGGGCCGAUACUGACGCUGAGGAGCGAAAGCGUGGGGAGCGAACAGG